GACGAACGCUGGCGGCGUGCUUAACACAUGCAAGUCGAACGGAAAGGCCCUGCUUUUGUGGGGUGCUCGAGUGGCGAACGGGUGAGUAACACGUGAGUAACCUGCCCUUGACUUUGGGAUAACUUCAGGAAACUGGGGCUAAUACCGGAUAGGAGCUCCUGCUGCAUGGUGGGGGUUGGAAAGUUUCGGCGGUUGGGGAUGGACUCGCGGCUUAUCAGCUUGUUGGUGGGGUAGUGGCUUACCAAGGCUUUGACGGGUAGCCGGCCUGAGAGGGUGACCGGCCACAUUGGGACUGAGAUACGGCCCAGACUCCUACGGGAGGCAGCAGUGGGGAAUAUUGCACAAUGGGCGGAAGCCUGAUGCAGCAACGCCGCGUGCGGGAUGACGGCCUUCGGGUUGUAAACCGCUUUCGCCUGUGACGAAGCGUGAGUGACGGUAAUGGGUAAAGAAGCACCGGCUAACUACGUGCCAGCAGCCGCGGUGAUACGUAGGGUGCGAGCGUUGUCCGGAUUUAUUGGGCGUAAAGGGCUCGUAGGUGGUUGAUCGCGUCGGAAGUGUAGUCUUGGGGCUUAACCCUGAGCGUACUUUCGAUACGGGUUGACUUGAGGAAGGUAGGGGAGAAUGGAAUUCCUGGUGGAGCGGUGGAAUGCGCAGAUAUCAGGAGGAACACCAGUGGCGAAGGCGGUUCUCUGGGCCUUUCCUGACGCUGAGGAGCGAAAGCGUGGGGAGCGAACAGGCUUAGAUACCCUGGUAGUCCACGCUGUAAACGGUGGGUACUAGGUGUGGGGUCCAUUCCACGGGUUCCGUGCCGUAGCUAACGCUUUAAGUACCCCGCCUGGGGAGUACGGCCGCAAGGCUAAAACUCAAAGGAAUUGACGGGGCCCCGCACAAGCGGCGGAGCAUGCGGAUUAAUUCGAUGCAACGCGUAGAACCUUACCUGGGUUUGACAUGGAUCGGGAGUGCUCAGAGAUGGGUGUGCCUCUUUUGGGGUCGGUUCACAGGUGGUGCAUGCCUGUCGUCAGCUCGUGUCGUGAGAUGUUGGGUUAAGUCCCGCAACGAGCGCAACCCUUGUUCACUGUUGCCAGCACGUUAUGGUGGGGACUCAGUGGAGACCGCCGGGGUCAACUCGGAGGAAGGUGGGGAUGACGUCAAGUCAUCAUGCCCCUUAUGUCCAGGGCUUCACGCAUGCUACAAUGGCUGGUACAGAGAGUGGCGAGCCUGUGAGGGUGAGCGAAUCUCGGGAAGCCGGUCUCAGUUCGGAUUGGGGUCUGCAACUCGACCUCAUGAAGUCGGAGUCGCUAGUAAUCGCAGAUCAGCAACGCUGCGGUGAAUACGUUCCCGGG
rnacentral:rRNA from 1 species